rnacentral:rRNA from 1 species
AGGACGAACGCUGGCGGCGUGCUUAACACAUGCAAGUCGAACGGUAAGGCCCCUUCGGGGGUACACGAGUGGCGAACGGGUGAGUAACACGUGAGCAACCUGCCCUUGACUCUGGAAUAACAGUUGGAAACAGCUGCUAAUACCGGAUAUGACUUUGUGCGACAUCGCACGAAGUGGAAAGCCCUGGCGGUCAAGGAUGGGCUCGCGGCCUAUCAGCUUGUUGGUGAGGUAACGGCUCACCAAGGCUUCG